rnacentral:lncRNA from 1 species
UUCUAUAGAGAGAAGGAAAGAAAGAAGAAAGGAAAAUGAAAAAAUUACUAUGUACUUUGUUCGACAUCACUUGCAGAAACUCAACAGAAAGAGAAACAGUCCCAGGUUAUGCUGCCCCUUCCCACGCCCAUCCUCACAUUUAGAUUCUUCAGAGUCCCAUCCGCAGUGACAGGGCGCACAGUGCUCCAGGUAGAGAAGCAGGGAGCGUUGCAGGGAUGGUUUUCUACACGCGAAGACCCGAAGGGAUUCGACGUAGAGCACGUCACAGGAGUCGCAACAGUGUAUUUCCGAAGUGGAAGAGGCAGGAGAGGGCAAAUGGCUGACCUUUCCCGCCCGAUUGCAGGUUCUUUUCCUGUGACAUGGACACGGGUGCAGAAACAUUUCUCCACUCCGAAACAGACACAGCGCAAGCAUGAUGACCUUCACAACGGCCCGCGUCCUCAGCAGGGAGCAGGACGGAGGCGAGGAGAUUGGCUGUGGGUAAGCGCAAGAAAGGGGCACAAUGAUGCAGGACUUUCCAUACCGGCCGUCGCCCCUCUGAGAGAAAGACAACGCAGGCGAGAAGGAUGCAGAAGUCCAAGAUGUACUGCACUUUUGAAGAAGGAGAUCAAGGAAGGCUUAACGGAGGAAAGAAAGAUAAUAAUGAAGAACCAAGUAAGAGAAUGUCAGAUCGUGGUUCCUUGCAACAAAGGACAUAAACCAAGGCCAUGUCCUCUAACUCUGAUCGUCCUGUCUCCCUCUGAACUCACUUAGAUAAUCCCAGACAAUCACCUCAUCGCAGGAUCCUUAAUUUAAUCACAUCUGCAAAGCUCCUUUUGCCAGGAAACUGUGCCAAGGACCCCUGUAGACCUAAAAUGAAGAUAUGCUGGAUUUCUGCCUUUACAAUGUGGAGGAGUCUGCGCGGAGCAGAAACUCGGCAGGUGCCGAAGGAGAAACGAGUGGCUCACGUCGAAGCUGGCCAGGGCCAGCGCCCGACUGUCUCGAGGCUCUGGGAUUUGCUGCACCAGCUGUUUAACAACGCUGCUCCCGAACCCCUUCGUUUUAAGAGCCUGG